AACGUAGGAGACAAACGUUAUCCGGAGUUACUGGGCGUAAAGGGCGUGUAGGUGGUUUCGUAAGUCUGGCGUGAAAUUUUUCGGCUUAACCGGGAAAGGUCGUCGGAUACUGCGGGACUGGAGGACGGUAGAGGCGUGUGGAAUUCCGGGUGUAGUGGUGAAAUGCGUAGAGAUCCGGAGGAACACCAGUGGCGAAGGCGGGUCUCUGGGCCGAUACUGACGCUGAGGAGCGAAAGCGUGGGGAGCGAACAGG
rnacentral:rRNA from 1 species